GUUGGGAGUGACAGUUCAAAAGUACCUUGAUGUGAAGCCCAUCGAUCUCCCUAUGGAGUCAGGGAUCCAUAAGGGGUUUCCAAUGGAACAGAGAGUUUUAACGGAGUUUCCUGUUUGUGCAAGGUGCCUGGUUGAGUAAGGAAUAUCAAAGUUCUCAAUCUGCAGAACAAAUAAAGCCUGGGCAAAGGUCAUUCAUAAUUGUAGUUACACCUGGGUUGUCACCUGGAGAAAGUUGGAAAAGCGCAAUUCAUCAAGAAGAUAAUUCUAAAAUGCAGAUGUUAGGCAGGGAAAC